UACCUGAUUCAGCGGCGGACGGGUGAGUAAUGCCUAGGAAUCUGCCCGAUAGUGGGGGACAACGUUUCGAAAGGAACGCUAAUACCGCAUACGUCCUACGGGAGAAAGUGGGGGAUCUUCGGACCUCACGCUAUCGGAUGAGCCUAGGUCGGAUUAGCUAGUUGGUGAGGUAAUGGCUCACCAAGGCGACGAUCCGUAACUGGUCUGAGAGGAUGAUCAGUCACACUGGAACUGAGACACGGUCCAGACUCCUACGGGAGGCAGCAGUGGGGAAUAUUGGACAAUGGGCGAAAGCCUGAUCCAGCCAUGCCGCGUGUGUGAAGAAGGUCUUCGGAUUGUAAAGCACUUUAAGUUGGGAGGAAGGGCAGUAAGCUAAUACCUUGCUGUUUUGACGUUACCAACAGAAUAAGCACCGGCUAACUUCGUGCCAGCAGCCGCGGUAAUACGAAGGGUGCAAGCGUUAAUCGGAAUUACUGGGCGUAAAGCGCGCGUAGGUGGUUCAGCAAGUUGGAUGUGAAAUCCCCGGGCUCAACCUGGGAACUGCAUCCAAAACUACUGAGCUAGAGUACGGUAGAGGGUGGUGGAAUUUCCUGUGUAGCG
rnacentral:rRNA from 1 species